AUGCAUGGCCUAUGUGAUAAGGAAAUAUUUUUGUAUGCGUCCUUUUUUUCCACAGAAAAUGCUCUGAUGAUGUUUGAAACUGAACCAGACCAGCAGUCAACUCUUAGGCAGACCAGCACACCCAGCCACAGCAGGGGAGAGAACAGAAGCAGCACUUCUCAACCAGAAACCAUAGAAACUAUGAGCAACAUUCUGGAUGCAGCAAUGCCAACACAGGUUCUUGGGAAUGAACUGCUGGUAGGCCAUGCCACCCUACCUUCCAGCGGCCACGCAAACUCUGCCUCAUCACACAGCCUGAUGCUUGAAGCUGCCUUCCACAUUGUGUUAUUACUUCUUCAUCUCCUCUCUGGACAAUAAAAGCUGCAGGGAUCUGGCUGAGGACCCUUGGAACAGAUAGGAGUACCAGCUCAGUCCCAAUGACAAUGAACCAUGUGUUAUUAUUCCUCCAUCUAAAUAUGUACAGUGAUUCUGCUUUUUUUAAACAUAUAUAUGAAUAUCUUAUUUUCUAAUUUGCAUCAAAACAACCCUCGUUAUUAUUCACAGUGUGGUGAGCCUUCAGACAAGUCUGUACUUUUGUACAUUGUGAACAAACCGAGCUGAAUUGGAAUCAAAGUACUUCUUUUAUGGACUGUAAGACAAUAUAACACAGAUAUGUGUGCUGCUGUAAAGUGCCAUGAUGUAUGUACCUGUAAAGAUCUGAACAUCUAUAGAAAAUUAUUGCAGAAAUCCUGUGAACCUUGUGUCUACUCUGUCCUAAGUAUCAGCAAGAACCUGGAACCGUUCUUUACAAAACCUUCUGAAAAAGGGACACCAUUUCUAAUCCGUACAGGAACAAUGGAGUAACAGAUACAACACGGACCUACAAAAUGGUCCGAUUUACUGAACAGAUGCCUUCACUGGAAGGACAUAAAAACAAUUAUCACUCACUCUGUCAAGACUGUAUAACUUUGCAGGAGAUUGCUCUGUGAUGAUACUUGGGCUUUAGUGAUAACACCACAGUUUUUAGAAGAUAAAAGUUCUUCAUUUUUAUCAGCAAAGACUCGUGAUUGGACCUGAGAAGCAGUAUGUCUACCUGUCGCUGCUGUGCUUUGUGUUAACGAGUGUAAUGCCUUUGAUUUCUUAUUGUGUUUGUGAACGUUUGCGAUGAGGUGCUCAGAGGUUUUUCAAGACGAAGGAGGUCUGGUCAAAAACAUUCAAUGAACUCUGAAAAGAACCAGAUCAGCAUUACAUAUAAAAGUCACAGAUCAAUACUUAUUUGUAUCAUUCAGUAUUUUAAAAUAAACAACAACUGCUUUUCUUUGAAAUAACUGAAGUGAGAUCUCUUAUUUUUUAGGACAGUGUAGCGCAAAUGAUGGGUUUUACCUAAGCUAGUUAAACAAGGAUUAUGAUGAGGUGAAUUAUUCAAAUGCAAAUAAAAACUGCAUUUACAGUGUUGUGUAGUUUUUGUUAUCAUGUCUGAUUAGUUUUUUUAAAAAGCUCACACUUUGCUCUACUUUAGCAACAGAUUACUUCAGGUUUAAUAAAAAAUAAAACAGAUUCCUAAACAUCCUGCAAAAUAUCAGCACUUUAAGCUUUUCAUGCUGGCGGAGGUUCUCAGUCAUGCAGGUCAUGGUAAUCCAAAAGGGUUCAGAUGAAGGCAACUGGACUUUUGUUUCUUGAGGAUUUUUCGUUUCUCAUCUGAGGAACUUUGUCAAUUCUGACUGGAAAACUGGAGAGUCAAGCUUAUAAACUGUAGCUGUCUAUUGUUAUUUAGACUAACAUCUUUCCCAUGUCCACCAGAUGAGUCUUUCCACAUGGGUAUUCAAGGAAUGAGAAGCAACUCAUUGCAGCAGUUGGGGUUAAAUAACUUGCUGACAGCUAACAAAUAAUCGCCCAUGUAGCAAUUAUCCAAUAGCAGUCCUGUACCUGUUAGCUUAGUUAAAUCCAGGUGGAGACUUUUUUUUAUUGGACCAGAGAAGUGAGUAAGACAACAUAAAAUCCAUUUUUUCCACUUGAAAAAGAUGUUAGAAAAAGAGACUGAACAGAAGAAGAUGGAUAUGUUGAGAGGUGUUUUGGGGAGAAAAACAAAUCUAGUAAAGCUAUUUUUGUAAUUUCUCCAGGUGACAGCAUCCACUCAGCUUAGAAAACAAUGAAAAGGCAUAAAACUCAUCACAUAUAAGCACAACGUGUAACAACUUGUUCAUAAAAAAAAGAGAUGUUUACCUACAGGAAUUAUAAUUCAUACCUCAGCAACUCCCAUUGCCUCUACGGGAUUUACAUAUGUUCAUUAUACUAAAGUGUAAAUGAAAAUCAGAUUGUUCAGAUGAAUCUGGACGUCCUGAGUAGAAUCUGUCCAGCUGACUUAUCUUAGAACCAUCAGUGAUCCUUCUUCAUUCUCUCUUUGCAGCUCACUGAACAUAAACAGCCUAGUUAGGAAUAAUCUCAUAUCUCCGAUGAUUCAUUUAACUAUUUGUCAGACUGAAGGUUCACACUACAGAACCGCAGCGUGUCAGAAAGCUGAACUAGAAUCCCUGCCUCGCCGAUGCGGCUGCUUAUACAAUUGCACUUUACUUCCAUUUCUGUCCAGACCUGUAUAACAAACAGUGUGAUGAGGACUGUAACGGAAUUUAAAUGACUUGAGAGUAUUAAAAAGAAGUCUCUUAAUUUCAUAGCGCAUUAGUGAGUGGGUACAAUAAGUCAGUGAAAACUUAGAUCAGUCUUUGGAUUUUUUAAUAAAACAUGAACAUUAUGAAUAAAAUCAUUUGUAUCAUCAAAUACGAGGUUUGGCUUAAAUUUAGUGAAUAUUUAUCUUUGUAAAGUAAACAAUUCAGCAGAAGUAGGGUUUCUGCUCUGCCUUUUCACAAAAAUAAAUAGCAAUGUAUCGACAGACUGAAAGUUAUUGCAUUGAGAUUAUAAUCCACUCUGACAGAAUUUGGAUUGUAGAUCUGAACAGAUGGAUAAAAUGCAUUGGUAAUCUUCUGAACAGUUUGGGAUGAACACACAAGACAUUAAAACCAGAAUUUUAGCAUUACAGUUUUUUUUUACAGCAGCUUGUGAUAUUUACCUUAUUUAGCUUUGUUUUUGUUUUCAAGACUGAAAUGAGUGCAUUUAGUAUAAAAGUCAAGUGUUUAUUUCGAGAUCAGCAUUCUUUAAAGAGAACCAACUUAAAGAGACAAUGUGUAGUUUUUACCGGUAAUCACUAGAAAUACGGUAAAUGGCCUGUAUCUGUAUAGUGCCAUCUUAGGGUUCUACAACCCCUCAAGGUGCUUUACAACACAAUCAGUCAUUCACCCAUUCAUACACUGGUGGUGAUGAGCUACGAUGUAGCCACAGCUGCCCUGGGGCACACUGACAGAGGCGAAGCUUGCCGAACACAGGCGCCACCGGUCCCUCCGACCACCAUCAGCGGGUUUAAUGUCUUGCCCAAGGACACAACAGCAGCAUUGCCUGGUCAGAGCCGGGAUUGAACCUGCAACCUUCAGAUUACGGACAACCCGCUUUACCUGUUGAACUACUGCUGUCCAUAAUGAAUAUCUAUCAAAAUGUUGCUGAUGUAGCGUUGUGGUUUUAUGCUCUUUUAUGAAAGAGGAACCAUGCUACGUAUUAAUUCGGAAUAUUAAUUUUUAAUAAAUCAAUAACCAAGUUUUAUAUUGUUCAGAAGACUCAAAGGUUGUUUUCAUCGAUAAACUGCCGAUAAUAUCUGAGUGUCUGUGUUUCAGUUCAAUGAGGAAACCAGUUUGAUGAUUAAAAGUUUUAAUUCUUCAAAUUAAACUAAUGAUUUUGAAAAUUGACAAACAGGAAAUAACAAUCACAUUGGCAACUUUGUGGGACAAUCUUUUAACAGUUUAUAUGCUGUUCUUGCUCAAAUAGACCUUCUGGUGAAUUUAUGAAGAUUGAGAAUGUUGUGAGUUGUGAGAGUGAUAUGAUGUGAUUAUGGAUGCGUGUGGGUGCAAAGUGUGGUGAGAUGAGGUGAGAUGGAUGCGUGUGUGCAUCUGAUUUUGCUUCAGGAAGAAACAGGUGUCUGAGUGAAAAGUGAUGGUUUGAAUAAACUUAGGUUUAGUUGGAAAAGAUGCAUC
rnacentral:lncRNA from 1 species